rnacentral:lncRNA from 1 species
AUUUCGAGCUCCAGAGCACCCUCCAUAAUGAUCAGCAUUUAGUGGGGCGAUUUGGGGGGAUUUGUUGAGGCCGUCUUAUGGCCUGCCACGUGGCGAACCCCAGCUCGUCUGAUCAUUUAGGCUACCUGAUCAAGGCCACUGCAGUGGCCUAUAUAAAGCCUAGAAAAGGGGGGUCCAGGAUCGUUGCUUGAACCCUCCCCCACACUUCUGGUUUUCUUCCUUCAGCCGCCAUUGUCGUGGUGUUGGAGCUUUCUUCCGGGCACUAUGGGAGCUUUCUAUCAACCUUUGCACCGGGCGUUGCUUUCUCCUCCCGGCGGGCAUUCUCCUUCUUUGCUUGACCACCCUUUCCGGUGAGCUUUCGGGUAAGUAUUUUAUCCCUCCUUUCGGUCGCUCGGAGAGUGAUAAGUGCUAAAUAAUGUAUAAAUUAAUAUCUUAUUAAUAACACUUAUCAUUAUUUUAAUUCACAUAUUUUGUAAAUUUAACUAAAAAAAUGUGUUGCCUUCAUCAUUGCAUUUUAAUAAAUUAAAGGUGUGUUUUACUUAUUUAUUUACUGGUCAAGUUUAAUGUGUGCAGGUCGCGUUUGCAGCUGAACCCAUGUCCAUGUCACCCUUUAAGUGCUUAGAGAUCAAGCUUCCACGUCAUCCCUUUCCUCCCCUGUUUUAAGCUUCAAAACAGAGUCAACCCCAAUCCUCUUUUCAUCACGAAUCAUAGCCACGUCUGUUGAGUCCAGCAUCCACCACCCCAGCUCUUUCGAAGCCCCUGCAUCCCAACUCAUCUCUCAUCCUAUUCUUCGGAUCAAGCUAGUGAACCCGAAUCCCAGCCGCAUCCAACCAUCGGCAGCAUCCCAAAAUCAGAUCUCAGCCUUCCUUAUCCCAUGUUCUUAGCUUCCGCAUCCCCUGCAUCCGAAAACAAGUUCGUCUUCUCUGAAAAUCAAGCAGCCCAGCAUCUGCGAUCGAUCCCAUGUGAAGUCUCGGAUCCCGCUCCACGGACGAAGAUCACGCAUGCAUGACCUCCGCAUCCCACAUCCCGUUCGUGAUCUUCUCCUCUCCCGUUCGCGAUGACCUUCAACCACCCACGGAUAACUCCCAGUCGAUUCUAGCUCUCUCUUCCAUCCUUAUUCAGCCAAAUCUCCUGCAUCCCAGAUCAGCCCUUCCUCCCAACUUCCGAAUCCAAACUCCAUCCCAUCUAUGUUUGUUCCCAGCAUCUUCCUUCUCCCUUGAUUCAUCCUUAUCUUCCCAAUUCUUCCGGCAUCCCUUCUCAGCCGUGAACACCAUCCCGCGUUUCCCACAACGUCCACAUCUUCUUCUGCUUCUGAAC